AGAACGAACGCUGGCGGCAUGCCUAAUACAUGCAAGUCGAACGAACUCUUCGGAGUUAGUGGCGCACGGGUGCGUAACGCGUGGGAAUCUGCCCCUUGGUUCGGAAUAACAGUUGGAAACGACUGCUAAUACCGGGAUGAUGACGAAAGUCCAAAGAUUUAUCGCCAAGGGGAUGAGCCCGCGUAGGAUUAGCUAGUUGGUGAGGUAAAGGCUCACCAAGGUCAACGAUCCUUAGCUGGUCUGAGAGGAUGAUCAGCCACACUGGGACUGGAGACACGGCCCAGACUCCGUACGGGAGCAGCAGUAGGGAUAGUUGGACAAGUGGGACGAAAGCCUAGAGUACCAGCAAUGCCGGCGUGAGUGA
rnacentral:rRNA from 1 species